UUUCCAGCUGUGGGCAAUAGAGAGGCCAGUGUCCAAACUCAGGCCACCUAAAGGCCACUGUUCACAUCUUCAAAGGCUAAUGGUCACCCAGCCUUCAAGAUGCCUAGGGGGAACCAGCCACCGCAGGAUCUCGACGCCACCACAGAAGGCAGCCAUUCACUCCAACACCCCCCAAAAUGCAACAAUCCAAGGCAGACCCCAGAGCACACCCCCGCAGUGACCGAACAGAAGGGGGCCACACCCCGAGGCAGAGGCCGGGUGGGGUCCGCGCGUCCGCUGACCUCCCAGUCCAAGCUCUCCUCUGCCCAGGGUUCGCGCACACGAGGCCCUCCUGCAGGCCAUCGGAUCCCAGAGCGACCCAACCCCGCGGACCCACGCAAGGGCAAGGGGACGGCCUCGGGGCGGCGUGACAAUCGGCAGCGAACGACUUCCACCACGAAGCCCGAAACCUCCACGCCGAAGCCCCCCACCCCCGAGCACCCCAACAUGGCCCGUGGCGGCAGUCAGAACUGGAGCUCCGGGGAGUCGGACGGCCAGCCAGAGGAGCAGACUUCAGAAGAGAACGGAGACAAGAUGGUGAAGGAGACCCAGUACUAUGACAUCCUGGGGGUGAAGCCCAGCGCGUCCCCGGAGGAGAUCAAGAAGGCCUAUCGGAAGCUGGCGCUCAAGUACCACCCGGACAAGAACCCGGAUGAGGGCGAGAAGUUUAAACUUAUAUCCCAGGCAUAUGAAGUACUUUCAGAUCCUAAGAAAAGAGACAUCUAUGACCAAGGUGGAGAACAGGCAAUUAAAGAAGGGGGAUCGGGCAGCCCCAGCUUCUCUUCACCCAUGGAUAUCUUUGAUAUGUUCUUUGGUGGUGGAGGACGGAUGACUAGAGAGAGAAGAGGCAAGAAUGUUGUCCACCAGCUGUCAGUAACUCUGGAAGACUUAUAUAAUGGAAUCACUAAGAAACUGGCCCUCCAGAAAAAUGUAAUUUGUGAGAAAUGUGAAGGCAUCGGUGGGAAAAAGGGGUCUGUGGAGAAGUGCCCCCUGUGCAAGGGGCGGGGGAUGCAGGUCCACAUCCAGCAGAUUGGGCCGGGCAUGGUGCAGCAGAUCCAGACUGUGUGCAUCGAGUGCAAGGGCCAGGGCGAGCGCAUCAACCCCAAGGACCGCUGUGAGAACUGCAGCGGAGCCAAGGUUACCCGAGAGAAGAAGAUCAUUGAGGUGCACGUGGAGAAAGGUAUGAAGGAUGGGCAAAAGAUACUGUUUCAUGGAGAAGGAGAUCAGGAGCCUGAGCUGGACCCUGGCGAUGUGAUAAUUGUGCUUGAUCAGAAGGAUCAUAGUGUCUUUCAGAGACGAGGCCAGGAUCUGAUCAUGAAAAUGAAAAUUCAGCUCUCUGAAGCUCUUUGUGGCUUCAAGAAGACAAUAAAAACGCUGGAUGAUCGAGUCCUUGUCAUUUCAUCUAAGUCAGGUAAGCGCCACUUCCAUGUUCCGAGUGUUCUGCUAACGGACUGUAUGCAUCGUGGCUGGCUUGCAUGGUCUCAGCAGGACACUCUGAAUAAUGACAUCAUCUUAUUCUUUUAAAGAUAUACUUUAAUUUUAAUUAUGCACAUAUGCGUGUGUCCCUGUGUGGGUGUGUGCGCUUGUGUAAAUGCACCCUUGGAGGCCAGAGGCUCUUCCUGCAGCUGGAGUCACAGGCCACCUGACAUGGGUGCUGGGAACAGACCUCUGGUCCUGAACUGCAAGAACAAUGCCUAUCCUUAAUUGCCGCGCCACCUCUUCAGCCCUAAAUGUAAUCUCUUACAGUUGACUGUUCUGUAUGUGUGUGGAGUGAGAGGACAACUUUAGAGUCUACUCUACCCUCUGCUAGCUCAGGUUUUGAGGUCGGGUAUCAGGUCUGCACAGCACGGCCUUCCCUGCCGUGCCAGCUCCUUAGCCCUGCUUGUAAGACUGCCACCUGUGACUCGAGAGUAUCAUGGACUUCUCUAAUAUCCUCCUAGACUCAAGAAUCUCUUGAGCCUGAAAUUUUAUUUGGAAUCUUCCAGCUAAGGAUAAAUGUAAACAUUUGAGUAGCGGAACGCAGCUGGCGACAGGUCUUUGCUGUCUGAGCCUUUGUAUGUGCCUCUGUUCUCUGAGCUGUUACAUGAAAACAUUUUGAAACAGGGUUUUCCUGAAGGGGAAAAGACACCAGCUGGGAGCGUGUCUCAAGAGGCUUCCACAGGCGGUCCCAGGGUCUGGGUCCGGUCUCUCAGCACAGUCACCAGGUUCGCAGCACCCAGGAAGCUGAUGUUUACAGAAGUCAUGAGUCCAUCUGGGCUCGAGAGCACCUGGCUAGAAGGGACCGAGGCAGAGGCUGGGCUAGUGACAAAGGCAGUUGUGCACAGCCAAGAUGCCUGCAUGGUGUAGAGGAAGCUAAGCUAUCUAAGUGUCCUGAGGCCGAGACACAGGCAGGGUUUACCAAUGGUGAGGGUCUGGGGGGUGGGUAAGUGGCUGAUGAGCCUGCAGCACAGGCCUUGGGAACUGAAGUCCUGUGGUCAGGUGAGCACCCGUGUCUGUGGCCAACUCUAGGACCUGCCUCUGCCCAUUCUCCCUUCCCGUCUGCUCUUCUCUUUCCAGUCUUCUCUGGCACCUUUCUCUGAUUCCUUCUCAUUUCUCCUUUGCUGGAGAUGAUAGCAAACAAGACUGCAUUUCUAAAUUGACCAGUGUAUGGUGAUUUUAAAAAUCCAAGUUCCAAACUUACAGCUGUGGAUGACAGUGUGCGCACGUAAUCCAAGCACUCAGUAGGCUGAAACCAGGGAUUUGCAAGAUUGAAGCCACCCUGGUCUAUAAAGCAAGAUGUCAUUUCAGUGGAGAUUGGGUGUGUGUAGGGCUAUGUGCGUUGGAGAUGUAGCUUAGCUGUUUGCUUAGGUUCAGUCCCCAGCACCAUAUGAACCAGGUAUGCUAGUAUGAGCCUGUAAUCAGUCUGAGGAGCUUGAGCAAGCCGGUCAAACUUACAAAAAGGCCUGAGAAAGAGACUGUCUCAGAAAAACAUAUUUCAAGCUUACAAAAGUUUGUAGAGAUAAUAUACAAAAUCCACCAAUGUGAGAUUUGCCACAGAGUGUUUUACCCCACGUGCAUGUGCUUGCGUAUAGUCAAGAUCAGGUACCUAUGAAGGUCAAACCAUGCACUGUGAUGUGCUCUGUCACGUUCUAGCGUCAGAGCUGCCUCUCUUUAGGCUCCACUCCACAGUCCCCCAGGUACCCAGUCCCUCCUGUCACUUGAGGAACAAAGUUGAAGGAUUGCACUUCACACAAGGCCUUAGGUCACCUGUUACGGACAGAACUGGGCCUGGUGGUGUGUCUCAGUCCCCAAACGUCCUCAUAUCCCAGAUCGUAGCCUUUGUGAGAGCCAAGAGUGGCAGCAUUUGUGUGACUUCUUUGGAAAAGCCCAUCCUUGGCUAAGGGUGGAUAAUGAGGGCAGGUCAUCCUGGCAGGGUUCCCUGGGUGGGGCCUGUUGCAGGAGGGGCCCUUGCUACCUUCCCUGACCCCAGCCUCGGGGAAGCUGGGAGUUAAGGACAGAAGUGGGGCGCAUGAGGAAGAGGCCCCUGAGGGACGGAAAAGAAACCCUUAGAACCCCACUUCUGUUUAGGUGGGGGAGAAGGCAGGGCAUCCAGAAAACCUGCUCAGAUUCCUUCCUAGUAUCUGGUGGGUGAGCGUGCAUGCGUGCGCACACACACACACACACACACACACACACACACACACACACACACACACCCUUCCCUUUCUUCCUUUUCUAUUAGUUUAUCUUUCAUUUUUCUCUCUCUUUCCUUUAUUGCUGAGCUACCUACCUUGCCAGAACCACUUAACUCUUGAGGAACUGUGGUUGUUGAAAGCAGGGGUUUGCCUUUGGCAGAGGUGAGGUGAUAAAGCAUGGGGACCUGAAGUGUAUCCGCAACGAGGGGAUGCCCAUCUACAAAGCCCCCCUGGAGAAGGGGGUGAUGAUCAUACAGUUUUUAGUAGUCUUCCCUGAAAAACAGUGGCUCUCUCAGGAGAAGCUUCCUCAGCUGGAGGCUCUGCUUCCCCCUCGGCAGAAGGUGAGGAUCACAGAUGACAUGGAUCAGGUGGAGUUGAAGGAGUUCAAUCCCAACGAGCAGAGCUGGCGCCAGCACAGGGAGGCCUAUGAGGAAGAUGACGAAGAGCCCCGCGCUGGCGUGCAGUGCCAGACGGCAUGAUGGUGCGGUGUGGCCUGGCCUGGUUGGACUCUAGUACAUGAUGAAUGUAAACUUGGCACAAUGAAAAUGGCAUCGCUUUAAUAGCCUCACGUUUGGGGUGUCCCGUGUAUGUGUUCAGCAGUCUCCACUGCUGAGUAUCUCUUGGGUUUUCUUGUUUCUCUUCUAGUUGUAACUUAAGUUAUAGCUUGAUUUAUAUUUAAAUGUUUUAAGUUCAAUCCCCUCUAGUCUGCAUAUGGAAUCUGUUUCAUUUGUACUUUCAGGACUUAUUUUGGAGAUGCCAGUACCACACUGACCUUUUGUGCUUCUUAGUGGCUUCGCCAUGGUUCGUUCCCACAGUAGGCCCAGAGGACCACUCUUGGCCCCUAACAAAGGCCCAGAAGGUGGGUGUCUGGCCCAUCUCUAGUCUGUGGUUUUUCUCCCCUUCCUCCCUUGGCAGAGUCACCAAGGGUAUGAGCUCAGGUCUGGUAGUAACAUUUCUGAAUCUAGACUCUAGAACUCUUAAGAUAGUAAAAGUCCACAUAUGGCUUGCAGUAGGCCCAGCAUGCCUGGUUCAUACAGAGUAGGCUGGACUCAAAAGCUGCAGAGACAGUCUAGGGCAUAAUGUUCUUUCCCCUUGACUGGUUAGAAAGGGGGUUGUUUGAACAUCUCUUUUGGAAGUUUUCUGAACUUCCCAAGCCUUGUGAUGACAAGCCCAUUUUAAAUAAGCCAAUAAAGCCAUUUGCCUGUAACCCCAUACCUUGUUCUUUGUGCUCUUAAUGAUCAUCUAUUGACGACCUUUGCAGUGUUGUCCCACCAAAGUGCUUUCUUUCCCUAAGGAAAGCUAAGCCCUUCAUAUGUAUCCCUGGCAGCCCUGACCAGCUGCAGAAACAACCAAAGGGGAGUGCUGGUGGCUUAGUUCCCAGCACACCAGCUUAACGUCUUAAGGGUGUGCAAUGGCACAGACCCCUCAGUAUUAUCUCCUUCCUAAAGGCCCGUCAUUCUCACUGUACAGCCAUACUGCAAAGGGCUUUCUGCUUGUGAUGUGUGGUGAGAACUGGCCCAACCAGGUUCUAGUUGGCUGGCAAUGACAGCUGCUUGGGAAUGUGUUCUAGUUACUACUUUAUUCCUGGCAAGUAGACUGCACUUUAAAUAAAGGCUACCUCAGCCUCUAGCCGUAACCUCUCCCUUCUUUUCUACAAAUGAAGUUAAAAACCCUGCUUUAUAAGCUGCUGGGAUAACCUGUCAGAUCCAUCCUUACUUGGUUUUUAUGGUACCAGACUUUGACACAGACCAGGAACCUCUCCUGGGGGCGGUCAAAGGGCAGAUGAGACCUGUGGCUGGUCAAGUAAGCCAGCUAGCAGGACCAGGCUCCUGAAGAACACUGCUGGCUAGUAAAACAUACGUUUUCAAAGUACAGUGCUCACUUUGACCACAGGCCAUGACAGACUUAAAACUGCUUCCUCCAAUUAAUAAGUGGACCACAACUCCAGGGUGGUGUUUCUGUGCUGUGACUUACAAAUAAAUCACUGUUGGAGAGCUACUACUUAGCUUGUGUAGGAUAAAACUAGACUCAGCUCUUUGUUAUGAAUCUACAGAGUGUUGCUUAACUGUCCCACCUGUACACUUUCCACUUUAAAAUUAAAAUUGAACUGGUAUGAGA